CGGUCCAGACUCCUACGGGAGGCAGCAGUAGGGAAUCUUCCGCAAUGGGCGAAAGCCUGACGGAGCAACGCCGCGUGAGUGAUGAAGGUCUUCGGAUCGUAAAACUCUGUUAUUAGGGAAGAACAUAUGUGUAAGUAACUGUGCACAUCUUGACGGUACCUAAUCAGAAAGCCACGGCUAACUACGUGCCAGCAGCCGCGGUAAUACGUAGGUGGCAAGCGUUAUCCGGAAUUAUUGGGCGUAAAGCGCGCGUAGGCGGUUUUUUAAGUCUGAUGUGAAAGCCCACGGCUCAACCGUGGAGGGUCAUUGGAAACUGG
rnacentral:rRNA from 1 species